rnacentral:rRNA from 1 species
AACUUGAGAGUUUGAUCCUGGCUCAGAACGAACGCUGGCGGCAGGCUUAACACAUGCAAGUCGAACGCCCCGCAAGGGGAGUGGCAGACGGGUGAGUAACGCGUGGGAAUCUACCCAGAACUUCGGAACAACUGAGGGAAACUUCAGCUAAUACCGGAUACGCCCUACGGGGGAAAGAUUUAUCGGUUCUGGAUGAGCCCGCGUUGGAUUAGCUAGUUGGUGGGGUAAUGGCCUACCAAGGCGACGAUCCAUAGC